rnacentral:rRNA from 1 species
AUUGAACGCUGGCGGCAGGCCUAACACAUGCAAGUCGAGCGGGGUUUUCGGACCUAGCGGCGGGCGGGGGAGUAAUGCGUAGGAAGCUACCCGAUAGAGGGGGAUACCAGUUGGAAACGACUGUUAAUACCGCAUAAUGUCUACGGACCAAAGUGUGGGACCUUCGGGCAACAUGCUAUCGGAUGCGCCUACGUGGGAUUAGCUAGUUGGUGGGGUAAUGGCUCACCAAGGCGACGAUCCCUAGCUGGUUAGAGAGGAUGAUCAGCCACACUGGAACUGAGACACGGUCCAGACUCCUACGGGAGGCAGCAGUGGGGAAUAUUGGACAAUGGGCGCAAGCCUGAUCCAGCCAUGCCGCGUGUGUGAAGAAGGCCUUCGGGUUGUAAAGCACUUUCAGUAGGGAGGAAGGGUGUUGUGUUAAUAUCACAGCAUUUUGACGUUACCUACAGAAGAAGCACCGGCUAACUCUGUGCCAGCCGCCGCGGUAAAAC